rnacentral:rRNA from 1 species
AGAGUUUGAUCAUGGCUCAGAACGAACGCUGGCGGCAGGCCUAACACAUGCAAGUCGAGCGCUUCACUUCGGUGAGGAGCGGCGGACGGGUUAGUAACGCGUGGGAAUAUACCCAGUUCUAAGGGAUAGCGACUGGAAACGGUGAGUAAUACCUUAUACGCCCUUCGGGGGAAAGAUUUAUCGGAAUUGGAUUAGCCCGCGUUAGAUUAGAUAGUUGGUGAGGUAACGGCUCACCAAGUCUACGAUCUAUAGCUGGUUUGAGAGGAUGAUCAGCAACACUGGGACUGAGACACGGCCCAGACUCCUACGGGAGGCAGCAGUGGGGAAUCUUGGACAAUGGGCGCAAGCCUGAUCCAGCCAUGCCGCGUGAGUGAUGAAGGCCUUAGGGUCGUAAAACUCUUUCGCCAGGGAUGAUAAUGACAGUACCUGGUAAAGAAACCCCGGCUAACUCCGUGCCAGCAGCCGCGGUAAUACGGAGGGGGUUAGCGUUGUUCGGAAUUACUGGGCGUAAAGCGUACGUAGGCGGAUUAGAAAGUUAGGGGUGAAAUCCCAGGGCUCAACCCUGGAACUGCCUUUAAAACUCCUAGUCUAGAGGUCGAGAGAGGUGAGUGGAAUUCCAAGUGUAGAGGUGAAAUUCGUAGAUAUUUGGAGGAACACCAGCGGCGAAGGCGGCUCACUGGCUCGAUACUGACGCUGAGGUACGAAAGUGUGGGGAGCAAACAGGAUUAGAUACCCUGGUAGUCCACACCGUAAACGAUGAAUGCCAGACGUCAGCAAGCAUGCUUGUUGGUGUCACACCUAACGGAUUAAGCAUUCCGCCUGGGGAGU